rnacentral:rRNA from 1 species
AGUGAACGCUGGCGGUAGGCCUAACACAUGCAAGUCGAACGGCAGCACAGGAGAGCUUGCUCUCUGGGUGGCGAGUGGCGGACGGGUGAGGAAUACAUCGGAAUCUACUUUUUCGGGGGGGAUAACGUAGGGAAACUUACGCUAAUACCGCAUACGACCUACGGGUGAAAGCAGGGGAUCUUCUGACCUUGCGCGAUUGAAAGAGCCGAUGUAGGAUUAGCUAGUUGGCGGGGUAAAGGCCCACCAAGGCGACGAUCCGUAGCUGGUCUGAGAGGAUGAUCAGCCACACUGGAACUGAGACACGGUCCAGACUCCUACGGGAGGCAGCAGUGGGGAAUAUUGGACAAUGGGCGCAAGCCUGAUCCAGCCAUACUGCGUGGGUGAAGAAGGCCUUCGGGUUGUAAAGCCCUUUUGUUGGGAAAGAAAUCCAGCUGGUUAAUACCCGGUUGGGAUGACGGUACCCAAAGAAUAAGCACCGGCUAACUUCGUGCCAGCAGCCGCAGUAA